rnacentral:rRNA from 1 species
UACGGGGGGGGCAAGCGUUGUUCGGAAUUACUGGGCGUAAAGGGCUCGUAGGUGGCCAACUAAGUCAGACGUGAAAUCCCUCGGCUUAACCGGGGAACUGCGUCUGAUACUGGAUGGCUUGAGUUCGGGAGAGGGAUGCGGAAUUCCAGGUGUAGCGGUGAAAUGCGUAGAUAUCUGGAGGAACACCGGUGGCGAAGGCGGGUCUCUGGGCCAUAACUGACGCUGAGGAGCGAAAGCGUGGGGAGCGAACAGG